rnacentral:rRNA from 1 species
UACGAAGGGGGCUAGCGUUGCUCGGAAUCACUGGGCGUAAAGGGUGCGUAGGCGGGUUUUUAAGUCAGAGGUGAAAUCCUGGAGCUCAACUCCAGAACUGCCUUUGAUACUGAAGGUCUUGAGUAUGGGGAGAGGUGAGUGGAACUGCGAGUGUAGAGGUGAAAUUCGUAGAUAUUAGGAAGAACACCAGUGGCGAAGGCGACUCACUGGACAUGUAUUGACGCUGAGGUGCGAAAAGCGUGGGGAGCAAACAGG